ACUCGCCGAAUGAGUUUCUGACCUAUCAACUCGAGACGGCGGGGUAGAGGCCCGCCGCGGUAACGACGGGUAACGGGGAAUCAGGGUUCGAUUCCGGAGAGGGAGCCCGAGAAACGGCUACCACUUCCAAGGAAGGCAGCAGGCGCGCAACUUACCCUAAUCUCGAUUCGAGGAGGUAGUGACAAGAAAUACCGAUGCGGGACCCUACGGGUGCCGCGUUCGGAAUGAGUACGAUUCGAACCACCUAACGAGGAACGAUCGGAGGGCAAGUCUGGUGCCAGCAGCCGCGGUAAUUCCAGCUCCAAUAGCGUACGUUAAAAGUUGCUGCAGUUAAAAAGCUCGUAGUUGAACGUUCGGGUUCCGCGGGACGGGGCCGCCCCGCGAGGGACGGCGCCGCCCCGGGGCUCGUGAUAUCUUAUCUCGCCGCCCGUCGCGAGGCGGACGGAGGGAUGGAUGAGGUUACCUGGAAAAAAUCGGGGCGAUCUAGGCGGGCGAACCUCGCCAACGAACGAUCGGACAUGGGAUAACGGAAGAGGGCGUCGGCUCGACUUC
rnacentral:rRNA from 1 species